rnacentral:miRNA from 1 species
CAGGAGUAGCUUUGGCCUAGCC